rnacentral:rRNA from 1 species
UACGUAGGGUGCAGGCGUUAAUCGGAAUUACUGGGCGUAAAGCGCGUGUAGGCGGUCCGGUAAGUCCGCUGUGAAAGUCGAGGGCUCAACCCUCGAAUGCCGGUGGAUACUGUCGGGCUUGAGUACGGGAGAGGCGAGUGGAAUUCCUGGUGUAGCGGUGAAAUGCGCAGAUAUCAGGAGGAACACCGAUUGCGAAGGCAGGUCUCUGGGCUGACACUGACGCUCAUGCACGAAAGCGUGGGGAGCAAACAGG